GUAUGGCUUUCUUUUUCCGUUGGACAUAUUCAUUUUAUGAAAAAAAUGUUUUUUUGUAGUUAUGACGUCACAAUGCCGUGUUUUGACAACACUUCACGUGCAUAUUUGUUGGCUUUUCGCAAUUUUUUACCCAUUUUCGCCAAGUUUUUUUACGAAAAAAGUACCUGCGCAUUCUUGCCCCAACAAAAUAUUUUGUCAGAGCAAUAUUAUCAACUAAAUGCAUCUUAUGUUGAAAUAUUUUCGUGGGGCAAAGCUGCGCUCAUACUGAAUUUUAAUUAAAAACUUGCUCAAAACCAGCAUCGAAGUUCUCUAAUUAUCGUCCGUUUUUCCCGGUAUCGGAAAAAAAAAGGAACAUAUAAGUAUUUUUUUAACAUUUUUUUUGGUCAAUGGUUGAUAACAAUAAAGUUUGGCUACAGAAAGUAAAUUACAAAGCGUAUUUCUUCAUAUUAAAGUAAAACAUAGCCUCUCAAGUUAAGCCUAGCCCUUACCGUCUAUAUUUAUUGUAAGUGAUUACGGAACUGACGCACGGAAUUUUACUGGUGCUGUUGUUAAGAAGCUUUUUAUAGUGGAAUAGAAAUCAGCGUAUCAUUCAUUAAAUACUUUAUAUUAACAGACAGAAUUGAAAGAACUAAAUAUAAUUUAAAAGAUGUGAUUAUAUUUGUGAAAAUGGUGGAAUUCGUACUCCGUGAAAGACAUAAAUGUAUACUGCAGAUCACUGGAGACAGGGGACCUAAAUUAUUACAUGAUAAUUUCCUCAUAGAAAUGAAAUGGAUAAAUUAAGAAAGGGAAGAAAAGAUUCUAAAUGUAUAUUGUGUGAAAAAAGAACAAAACCCGGAAAAAGAAGACCUUUGUGUGGAGAAACAAAUAAAAAUCUGCGCAAUUUUCUCAGUAAAAAUUUCCUUGUUUCACCCAAUGAUGAUGACGUUAUCUGUGAUACUUGUCAACGGAAAUACUACAGAGAAGGGCAAGCACAAGUAAAUAAACCCACUGUCCUUACAACUGAUACAAAUGCAAAUGAUCCAGAUUUUAUGCCAUCAUCUGCACCUA